CGAGAGGCCGGUGACGGCGCUGCCGCCGAGUCGCUUGCUGGGGCACCGCGUAGGUGGGAGCGGGACAGCGGCGUCGCGGCUCCGCCUCGGGCGCCGGUGCUGCCGCCGGACGGAGCAGUGAUAGGAAGCAGGUUGUCGCAGCUUUAGUCCAGCGAACCGGAGGGAUGGGGCGAGGAGGAGGAGGCAGAGUUAGCUGAGAGCCUGAUCCAGCAUCUCUUUGCUUCUCCAUUCACGCAGUCACGGUGGAAGAUUGGAUCUCUGAAGAUGAAAAUCUGGGACAUCAAUCUGCCUUCCCAACUCAGCUUCACUUUCAAUAUUGAACUUCCGCCUGUGCGCCGAGCUGUUCUAGUCAGAGCCCCAAACUCUGUUUUUAGCUAAUGCUUUGUCAGAGAGCUGUCCUCUUCAGAGAGAUUGAAAUGAGUUAUAGUCUUUCGACACUAUUGGCAAGUGGCUUUCACGGUCCRUGGCGGAUCUAAUGAACUACAGCUGCCUGGUUGGAAAAUCCUGCUUUCAAUUGUCUGGAAGGACUUCUGAAGUCUCGACUUGGAUUCACAGACUUUGUUAGGGUUUUUUUUCUUGUCAAGAAGACAACAGGGAAAGUGCUCCUGUGAAAUUUCUUCAUAAAAUGAUGUUCACAAAUCUCAAAAUUUAGUAGUUUUGCACAGGAAAAAUUAUCAAGCUGACACACAUUAGACAUGCUUUUAAAUGGAAAUAUGGUAACACAUGCCCAUUUACUGAGCAAAGCAUAUGUAUAAGUAAGUUUUCAC
rnacentral:lncRNA from 1 species